rnacentral:rRNA from 1 species
CUUCGGUCUGGUGGCGAGUGGCGAACGGGUGAGUAAUGUAUCGGAACGUGCCCAGUAGCGGGGGAUAACUACGCGAAAGCGUAGCUAAUACCGCAUACGCCCUACGGGGGAAAGCAGGGGAUCGCAAGACCUUGCACUAUUGGAGCGGCCGAUAUCGGAUUAGCUAGUUGGUGGGGUAACGGCUCACCAAGGCGACGAUCCGUAGCUGGUUUGAGAGGACGACCAGCCACACUGGGACUGAGACACGGCCCAGACUCCUACGGGAGGCAGCAGUGGGGAAUUUUGGGCAAUGGGGGAAACCCUGAUCCAGCCAUCCCGCGUGUGCGAUGAAGGCCUUCGGGUUGUAAAGCACUUUUGGCAGGAAAGAAACGUCAUGGGCUAAUACCCCGUGAAACUGACGGUACCUGCAGAAUAAGCACCGGCUAACUACGUGCCAGCAGCCGCGGUAAUACGUAGGGUGCAAGCGUUAAUCGGAAUUACUGGGCGUAAAGCGUGCGCAGGCGGUUCGGAAAGAAAGAUGUGAAAUCCCAGAGCUUAACUUUGGAACUGCAUUUUUAACUACCGAGCUAGAGUGUGUCAGAGGGAGGUGGAAUUCCGCGCGUAGCAGUGAAAUGCGUAGAUAUGCGGAGGAACACCGAUGGCGAAGGCAGCCUCCUGGGAUAACACUGACGCUCAUGCACGAAAGCGUGGGGAGCAAACAGGAUUAGAUAUCCUGGUAGUCCACGCCCUAAACGAUGUCAACUAGCUGUUGGGGCCUUC